GUCACUGUCUGAUGGUUUGUGACUCUGGAAAUUGAGGAUGGAGGACCUGGAUGUGAAGUUAGCUUGCCUUUCCUUUCCGAACUCUCAGGCAAUCAUCACAAGCAGUAGUGCUACCGAGAACUGUGAUUAAGGCUGAAUGCACACCUCAGGGUUUUGACAACCACAGGACUCAGGCAGUUAUGGGAUGUCAUCUGAAGUUGGAAGUCCUUAAUGGGCAUGUCACUUCCAAAGCACACAACUCGGGAGGAUGGAGGGGGAUCAUUUGGGAGAAGUCGCUCAGCUGGGAUUCUUCGCACAAUGUGUGCUACUAUCUUCCACAUAUCCAAUUGGUAAGACUCAGGGAAAUUCAUUCAGAUCCAGCCCUCUUUGGAAUCCAGCCCUUUUCCUAUUAAAUAUACUCUGUAGAGGAAUAAAAUCCUGACCAA